GCUAUAGUUUAGUGGUAGAACAUCAGCUUUUCAUGCAGAAGGUCCCAGGUGCAGUCCUGGGCAUCAAGCCA